UACAGAGGGUGCAAGCGUUAAUCGGAGUUACUGGGCGUAAAGGGCGCGUAGGCGGAUGUAUAUGUGUGAUGUGAAAGCCCCGGGCUUAACCUGGGAAGCGCAUCGCAAACUGUGUAUCUAGAGUAGAUGAGAGGGUGAUGGAAUUUCCGGUGUAGCGGUGAAAUGCGUAGAGAUCGGAAGGAACGUCAAUGGCGAAGGCAGUCACCUGGCAUCAUACUGACGCUGAGGCGCGAAAGCGUGGGGAGCGAACAGG
rnacentral:rRNA from 1 species